AGCCCAAAAUUGAAUUGGGCUAACUUGCUGUUGGCACGUUUAGCUUGUAGCUUGUUCCUUCUCCUCCUUCUUCUUCCUAGUCCCGUUCUUACUCACUCUGAAACCCUAAACAUGCCGCCAUUAGCGCCUCUGCAUCUUCGGAAGCUCUUACUCCGUUCUCGUUCCUUAUCAUUCACUUCUCCCACUCCGAUUCACCCUCCUCCUCUGUUUCCCCAACAACCUUCUUCCCAUUUCCAUUCCCGAACCCUCCUCACUCCUUCUUCGCUCUUCAUAAUCAGACAUUUCUCAUCGGAAACCCAAACGGAUCAGAUUGCGCACUCCCUCUCCUCAGAGCUUCUCAAAGAGCCAGACUCGGACGCUCUCUCCGUCUCGCAGCGCCUUCACCUGAGCUUCUCCCACAUCACUCCAACCCCCAAUUUGAUUCUCCAAACCCUAAACCUCUCCCACGAAUCUGGCCGCACUGUAUUAGGGUUCCAUCAAUGGCUCUCUUCCAACCCCCAAUUCUCCCACACGGACGACACUCUUUCCUACUUCGUCGACUACUUUGGCCGCCGUAAGGACUUCAAGGCCACGCAUGACGUCCUCUCCGCCGCUUCCCCCGCCGCCGGCCCCAAAACCCUAGCCUCCGCGAUCGACCGCCUCGUCCGCGCGGGCCGCCCCAGCCAGGCGGUUCAGUUCUUCGAGCGAAUGGAGAGAGACUACGGGCUGAAGCGCGAUCGUGCUUCCUUAAAAGUGGUCGUGGAGAAGCUGUGUUCGAAGGGUUUCGCUAGUUACGCGGAAAAAAUGGUUAAGGAUUUGGCGAAGGUGUUUUUCCCCGACGAAGCCACGUGUGAUAUGUUGAUCAAAGGGUGGUGCGUUGAUGGGAAGCUCGAUGAAGCUCAAAGGCUCGCCGGUGAGAUGUAUCGUGGUGGGUUUGAGCUUGGUGUGGGGUCUUACAAUGCCAUGCUUGAUUGCGUUUGCAAGCUUUGUCGCCAAAAGGAUCCGUUUCAACUUCACUCGGAAGCAGAGAAGGUGUUGGUGGAGAUGGAGCACCGUGGGGUUCCAAGGAAUGUGGAGACAUUCAAUGUGUUGAUAACGAAUUUAUGUAAGAUUAGGAAGACCGAAGAUGCUUUGGGAUUGUUUCGUAGCAUGGGAGAGUGGGGGUGUUACCCUAAUGAGACUACUUUUCUUGUUUUGAUUAGGAGUCUGUAUCAGGCUGCUAGGUUGGAAGAGGGGGAUGAGAUGAUUGAUAGGAUGAGGUCUGCUGGGUUUGGUGAGUUUCUAGAUAAGAAGGCUUACUAUCAGCUCCUCAAGAUUUUGUGUGGCAUUGAGAGGGUUGAUCAUGCUUUGAGUGUGUUUGCUAUGAUGAAGGAUGGUGGGUGUGAACCCGGGCUUAUAACUUAUGACUUGUUGAUGGGAAAAUUGGGUGCUCACAAUCGUAUCGAUAAGGCUAAUGCUCUAUUCAAUGAAGCGAAGAGUAGAGGGCUGCCUGUGAUGCUCAAAGAGUAUGCUGUUGACCCGAGGUAUUUGAAGAAGAAGAAGGUUGUCAAGGGUGUGAAGAAGAGGGAAACCUUGCCUGAGAAAAUGGCUAGGAAGAGAAGCCGCCUGAAACAGAUUCGGUUGAGUUUUGUGAAGAAGCCCAAAAGAGUGAUGGGUCGUUGAUCAUUUUUUAUACUUUAUAAAGGUUUCGGAAUAGAUUUCCCUAUUUAAUCAUCAUUUUCUUUGUUUCAUUGUUAGUUUUGAAUAUUUGGAGAUAAAUCUUUGCAUGGAAAUGGCUCCAUUGUAGGACAUAAAUGCCGCCACAUAUUCAGAAAUAAUUUUUUGUACUUGGUGCUUUAUGUUGGUUCAACUUCUGGGAGAUGUAUGCUGGGCUUCUUAAUGAUUAUUGACAUUGACAUCAGGAAAGGGUACAAAUUAAAUGAUAAAAUAAAUGUGUGUCAAAUUAGCAGAAAAAACUGGAAUCUGAUUAAAAAAUUGUUGCUAAUUGAAUAAUCAAAUGAUGUCUCAGUUUAAUCUGGUUUUAAUUAUGUAUUUGUCUCUUACCAUAGUUUGCCCCAUUCAUAAGCUAGUGUUCAAUGCUUUGCUGGAAGGUUUACUGCUGAAUUUUCAGCAUUUGAAACUGAAAAAGGCAAGCAUAAAACUUAAGUGUAGUGCAGAUUGUAACAACUCACUUUGUAGUACAUAGAACAACUGAACAAGAAAAGAAGAUGCAUGGCAGACUAUAGGGUUAAACCAAGAUUCUAUUCCGCACCAAAUGUUUAAAGAAUCACCUUGGUAUAGAAUUGGUUGCUGAAGCUCAGGUCACUAGCUGGCAUUGUUGUUGUUGCCAUUCAAAUCUGUUGCAAAGACUGUCCUUGCAACUAGAGAAAGCUAUGGGUAGUUCUGGUAGUGACUCAGAUUAUUCCAAUGAUUCUGAUGCAGAGGUUAAUGUUACAAUCAGAUUGCUGGAAUAAGAUUCAUGUGGGAAAAUGCAGUCAAUCAGAAAAGUGAAGUCUGGAGAUAUAAAGGUCUUGGCUGUAUUCUAACUCAUACCAUACCAUGGACCUUGGUGAAACUUUUCAGGUAUUGUACUCAUUAUGGAGAAUUUAUUAUGUCGAUAUAACUGAAGAGUGAAUACUGUUUUGUUGAAAAUACAUGUGACAGAUCAAUGCCUUUUCUCUGUGAAAUUGCCCUUGCUUGAAUACUGAACAAAUAUUACUUGACAACGUGGCUCUUUGUGUAGUCUGAUGCAGCUAUCAUUCUUAUUGUUUCUUCCCCUCCAUUGUUUCUAUUUUAUGUAAUUUUAAUAACUUAUUUCUUCUUA